rnacentral:lncRNA from 1 species
GAGGGAAAUGUGCCACCAUGAAAGAAAAGAAAGAAAAAUGAAAGGGAGAGAAGAAGACACACUUAUCAACAAUUUAAAAUCCACACAUUAUAGUAAAAAAAGGCCAACGGAACGCUUCGUGUAUUACGUAAAAGAAAUUAAUGUUGGUUGAUAAGAAAAAUUACAUCUAUAUAUUUCUUAGAUAUGACAACCUAAUAAAAACAAAAUUUCUGACAACAAUCAAAAUAGCAAAUCAAAAACAUAAUUAAUCCACUAAGUGUAUCUCAAGUUUCAAUCUUUAGUUCUAUUUUGAGACUAAUAUUAAUCCAUGGUUAUACACUUAAAACAUUUUAUUUUUUCUUAAAAAUAUAAUUUAUAGGUUUCAAAACUCAAACGAUCUUCUACAAACUCGGUGUAUAACCAAAUAUGCAUUACAAAUGAAAAUUAAAGUGAUGUAUUUUUUCUCUUU